GUAGGUGGCGAGCGUUGUCCGGGAAUUAUUGGGGCGUAAAGCGCGCGCAGGCGGUUCUUUAAGUCUGAUGUGAAAGCCCACGGGCUCAACCGUGGAGGGUCAUUGGAAACUGGAGAACUUGAGUACAGAAGAGGAAAGCGGAAUUCCACGUGUAGCGGUGAAAUGCGUAGAGAUGUGGAGGAACACCAGUGGCGAAGGCGGCUUUCUGGUCUGUAACUGACGCUGAGGCGCGAAAGCGUGGGGAGCAAACAGGAUUAGAUACCCUGGUAGUCCACGCCGUAAACGAUGAGUGCUAAGUGUUAGGGGGUUUCCGCCCCUUAGUGCUGCAGCUAACGCAUUAAGCACUCCGCCUGGGGAGUACGGCCGCAAAGGCUG
rnacentral:rRNA from 1 species